rnacentral:rRNA from 1 species
GACGAACGCUGGCGGCGCGCUUAACACAUGCAAGUCGAGCGAGAACCAGGGCUUCGGCCCUGGGGACAGCGGCGAACGGGUGAGUAACACGUGGGUAAUCUGCCCUCGGCAUCGGGAUAGCCCGGGGAAACCCGGAUUAAUACCGAAUAGCCUCCGGAGCUCUCGGGCGCCGGAGAAAAGGUAGCUUCGGCCUCUGGCCGAGGAUGAGCCCGCGGCGGAUUAGCUUGUUGGCGGGGUAACGGCCCACUAAGGCGACGAUCCGUAGCUGGUCUGAGAGGACGAUCAGCCACACUGGGACUGAGACACGGCCCAGACUCCUACGGGAGGCAGCAGUGGGGAAUCUUGCGCUAAUGCGGGAAACCGUGACGCAGCGACGCCGCGUGGGGGAAGAAGGCCUUCGGGUUGUAAACCUCUUUCAGGAGGGACGAAGCUACUCGGGUGAAUAGCCCAGAGGGUGACGGUACCUCCAGAAGAAGCCCCGGCUAACUACGUGCCAGCAGCCGCGGUAAAAC